rnacentral:rRNA from 1 species
CAGUCGCCGCGGUAAUACGUAAGGGGCGAGCGUUGUUCGGAAUUAUUGGGCGUAAAGGGCAUGUAGGCGGCUAUGUAAGCCUGAUGUGAAAUCCUGGGGCUUAACCCUAGAAUAGCAUUGGGUACUGUAUAGCUUGAAUUACGGAAGGGAAACUGGAAUUCCAAGUGUAGGGGUGGAAUCUGUAGAUAUUUGGAAGAACACCGGUGGCGAAGGCGGGUUUCUGGCCGAUAAUUGACGCUGAGAUGCGAAAGUGUGGGGAUCGAACAGGAUUAGAUACCCCCGUAGUCCCUGUCUCUUAUAC